CCCUCAUUGAAGGCCUGGCAGUGGAGGUGAGGGGCACUCCCUGGAGCUCUCUGUGUACCUGCGGCCUUCAGGAGUAUGAUACCAUCCCAUGGCACCUCCAUCUCCCGGUGCGCCACCAUCACUGGGCAUCUCAUCCUGUCCGUGUGUCACCACCCCGUGGCAUUUCCAUCCUCCCAUCUGCCUCCAACCCCAUGGACCCCCCCCUCUGAGCCAGCCUGGAGUCCUGCAGCCCCUUCCUUUGCCAGACUGUCCCCGUGGGGCGGCUGUGUGUCCCCGUGGGGCAGUGGAAGGCCUGGGAGCGCAGGGAUGGAGAUGCAGCUGUGCAGGGUUGGAGCUGCAUCCAUGGAUGGAGCCGUUCCUAUUGAUGGAGCUGCACCCGUGGAUGAGAUGACAGCAGGGAUGGAGCCGUACCCACGGAUGGAGCCAUAUGGAGAUGGAGCUGCGCCCGUACCCACGGAUGGGAUGGAGUGACCCCACGGAUGAGGGCCGUACCCCACAGAUGGGGCCAUGUGGGGACGCAGCCGCACCAACACGAGAUGGUUUCACCUCUCCAAAUCAACACACGCUGCUGCAGCCUCCGCCGUCCUCUCCCUCCACCCCUCCCCGCUCUGCCCCACACGCAGCACCCCGCGGCCAUCCCUGCCCUCCUCACCCCCGGGACCCCCAGCAACGCCACCGCAGCGUUUGCUCGGUGCCGGCCGUUCCUGGAGCUCUCACACCGUGGCCAACUGCACGCUGUGCGCCCGGGGACGUCACGGCCGAUCCCUCGCUCCGCUUCCUCGAAGGCCGUCUGCUGCGUGCCAGGGUGACGCUGGCGGCUCGGGGCUGACCUGCUUUUUCUCCUCCAGCCCUCGCUUUGAAUCCCUCCGGCCGGCCCGGCCCUCUGCACGGCUCCGAGAGCGCCGACGGCUUCCUGUGUGGGCGGUGGAAUUUGGCACCCGGCUGUGGGGAUGGAGCGGCCGAUGUACAACGCCCGGCACCGUGCGCCCAGCAACGCCGUGCAACGAGCAACACCGUGCAUGCAUCCUGCACUGUGCACCCAGCAACACUGCACCCAGCAAUGCUGUGCACCCAGCAAUGCCGUGCAUGCAUCCUGCACUGUGCACCCAGCAAGGCUGUGCAUGCAUCCUGCACUGUGCACCCAGCAACACUGCAGCCAGCAAUGCCGUGCGCCCAUCCUGCACCGCGCAUCCAGCAAUGCCGUGCAUGCAUCAUGCACUGUGCCCCCAGCAACACUGUGCACCCAGCAACACUGCACCCAGCAAUGCUGUGCACCCACCAACGCUGUGAACGCAUCCUGCACCAUGCACACAUCAGUGCUCUGCACCCAGCAAUGCUGUGCACGCAUUCUGCACCGUGCACCCAGCAACACUGUGCACCCACCAAUGCUGUGCAUGCAUCCUGCACUGUGCACACAUCAACGCUGUGCACCCAGCAACAUGACACCCAGCAAUGCUGUGCAUGCAUCCUGCACCACGCACCCAGCAACACUGAGCACCCAGCAGCACGGUGCACACAUCCUGCACCAUGCACACAUCAGUGCUCUGCACCCAGCAAUGCUGUGCACGCAUUCUGCACCGUGCACCCAGCAACACUGUGCACCCACCAAUGCUGUGCAUGCAUCCUGCACUGUGCACACAUCAACGCUGUGCACCCAGCAACAUGACACCCAGCAAUGCUGUGCAUGCAUCCUGCACCACGCACCCAGCAACACUGAGCACCCAGCAGCACGGUGCACACAUCCAGCACCAAUGCACCCACCAACACUGCACCCAGCAAUGCUGUGCAUGCAUCCUGCACCGUGCACCUACCAACGCUGUGCACCCAACCAGCACCGUGCAACCAUCCAGGGCUGUGCGCCCACCCAACACCAUGCACACAUGUGGCACUGUGCACCCAUCCAGCACCCAAAAUCAUGCACCCACCAACUCUGUGCACCACCACCAACGUGCACACAUCACCCACGCAGCACCAUGCACCCACUGUGCACCGUGCUGCACACGGAGGGCACACAUUGCACUUGCUUGCAUGUUGCACACCUGGCAGGCACAUAACAUGUUGCACGCCUAGAGCACGUUGCAUGCUUUGUAUGCAUGUUGCACGUUGAGAACACGCGCUGCAUGCUUUAUAUGCACGUUGCAUGCUGACAACACAUGUUGCAUACUAUAUGCACAUUGCAUGUUGCAUGCUGAGCAUGCGUGUUGCACACCGGUCGUGCAUGCUGCACUGUGCACCCUGCUGACCCCAUGCACCCACCAGCACCGUGCAGGAGCUGCAUGCACCGGGGCUGCCCACACACCCUAAUAGCAACGUGUGGCCUCUCCAGGAAGACCCUUUGUUCCCCCUCCACCCCAUAAGUGCGGUCCCCUCCUCCUUCUGUGCUUAUGGGGGGGGUCCCGGUGCUGCCCAUGCUGUAACCCCAAUAAUGCCCAUGGUGUAACCCCAAUGGUGUCCGUAGUGUAACCCCACUUCUGUCCAUGGGAUACCCCAAUGCUGCCCAUGGUGUACCCCAAUAGUUCCCAUGGUGUACCCCACUACUGCCCGUAGUGUAACCCCAAUAGUGCCCAUAGUGAAACCCCAAUGCUGCCCAUGGUGUAACCCCAAUACUGCUCAUGUUGUAGCCCAAUAGUUCCCAUGUUGUACCCCAAUACUGCCCAUGGUGUAACCCCAAUGGUGCCCGUAGUGUAACCCCACUUCUACCCAUGGUGUACUCCAAUGGUGCCCAUGUUGUACCCCACUACUGCCCACGAUGUACCCCACUACUGCACACAGUGUAACCCCAAUACCGCCCACGGUGUACCCCAAUAAUGCCCAUGCAAUAACCCCAACGCUGCCCAUGGUGUAACCCCACUUCUGCCCAUGGUGUACCCCAAUGGUGCCCAUGUUGUACCCCAAUACUGCCCACGAUGUACCCCAAUGCUGCCCGUAGUGUAACCCCAAUAGUGCCCAUGUUAUAACCCCAAUAGUGCUCAUAGUGUAAUCCCACUUCUACACAUGAUGUACCCCAAUGGUGCCC
rnacentral:lncRNA from 1 species